rnacentral:rRNA from 1 species
UAGAGUUUGAUCAUGGCUCAGGAUGAACACUAGCGGCAGGCUUAACACAUGCAAGUCGAAGGGCAUCGCGGGGAGUGCUUGCACUCCCUGGCGGCGACUGGCGCACGGGUGAGUAACACGUAUGCAACCUGCCCUCCACAGGGGGACAACCUUCCGAAAGGGAGGCUAAUCCCGCGUAAAUCUCGAUGGGGCAUCCCAUUGAGAGGAAAGCUUCGGCGGUGGAGGAUGGGCAUGCGGCGCAUUAGCUAGUCGGCGGGGUAACGGCCCACCGAGGCGACGAUGCGUAGGGGUUCUGAGAGGAAGGUCCCCCACACUGGUACUGAGACACGGACCAGACUCCUACGGGAGGCAGCAGUGAGGAAUAUUGGUCAAUGGGCGCGAGCCUGAACCAGCCAAGUCGCGUGAGGGAAGACGGUCCUAUGGAUUGUAAACCUCUUUUGUCGGGGAGCAAAAGACGCCACGCGUGGCGUUCCGAGAGUACCCGAAGAAAAAGCAUCGGCUAACUCCGUGCCAGCAGCCGCGGUAAUACGGAGGAUGCGAGCGUUAUCCGGAUUUAUUGGGUUUAAAGGGUGCGCAGGCGGAAGAUCAAGUCAGCGGUAAAAUUGAGAGGCUCAACCUCUUCGAGCCGUUGAAACUGGUUUUCUUGAGUGAGCGAGAAGUAUGCGGAAUGCGUGGUGUAGCGGUGAAAUGCAUAGAUAUCACGCAGAACUCCGAUUGCGAAGGCAGCAUACCGGCGCUCAACUGACGCUCAUGCACGAAAGUGUGGGUAUCGAACAGGAUUAGAUACCCUGGUAGUCCACACAGUAAACGAUGAAUACUAAUUGUUCGGGGAGAAUGAUCCCUGAGUGAUACAGCGAAAGCGUUAAGUAUUCCACCUGGGGAGUACGCCGGCAACGGUGAAACUCAAAGGAAUUGACGGGGGCCCGCACAAGCGGAGGAACAUGUGGUUUAAUUCGAUGAUACGCGAGGAACCUUACCCGGGCUCAAACGACACAGGAAUACUUUUGAAAGGAAGUAGCUCUACGGAGCCUGUGUCGAGGUGCUGCAUGGUUGUCGUCAGCUCGUGCCGUGAGGUGUCGGCUUAAGUGCCAUAACGAGCGCAACCCCCAUCGCCAGUUACCAGCAAGUCAAGUUGGGGACUCUGGCGAGACUGCCGGCGCAAGCUGUGAGGAAGGCGGGGAUGACGUCAAAUCAGCACGGCCCUUACGUCCGGGGCGACACACGUGUUACAAUGGCAGGUACAGAGAGAAGCAAUGCGGCGACGCAAAGCGGAACUUGAAAGCCUGUCUCAGUUCGGAUUGGAGUCUGCAACUCGACUCCAUGAAGCUGGAUUCGCUAGUAAUCGCGCAUCAGCCAUGGCGCGGUGAAUACGUUCCCGGGCCUUGUACACACCGCCCGUCAAGCCAUGGAAGCCGGGAGUGCCUGAAGUGUGCAACCGCAAGGAGCGCCCUAAGGUAAAACUGGUGACUGGGGCUAAGUCGUAACAAGGUAGCCGUAA